rnacentral:rRNA from 1 species
UGGGGAAUCUUGCGCAAUAGGGGAAACCCUGACGCAGCGACGCCGCGUGCGGGAAGAAGGCCUUCGGGUUGUAAACCGCUUUCAGGAGGGACGAAGCUACUCGGGUGAAUAGCCCAGAGGGUGACGGUACCUCCAGAAGAAGCCCCGGCUAACUACGUGCCAGCAGCCGCGGUAAUACGUAGGGGGCAAGCGUUGUCCGGAUUUAUUGGGCGUAAAGAGCGUGUAGGCGGCCAGACAGGUCCGUUGUGAAAACUCGAGGCUCAACCUCGAGACGUCGAUGGAAACCGUCUGGCUAGAGUCCGGAAGAGGAGAGUGGAAUUCCUGGUGUAGCGGUGAAAUGCGCAGAUAUCAGGAAGAACACCUAUGGCGAAGGCAGCUCUCUGGGACGGUACUGACGCUGAGACGCGAAAGCGUGGGGAGCGAACAGG